UUACUUUGCCAUACCGAUUUGUCAAAGCCUGAUCUUAUCAGAUCUCAAAAGCUAAGCGAGGCUGGACCUGGUUAGUCUUUAGAUGGGAGACUGCUGGGAUUAUCAAGUGCCACGGUGGG
rnacentral:rRNA from 1 species